CUUGCGUAACUUGUUGAUCGAAGAUCGAUCGACCGAGCCGUUAAGUAAGAGAGAGCGAGAGAGAAAGUCGACCGAGUUAGCCCUAGGUGGCCGUUCCCCUCAGCCUAACUAGAGGCCACCCACGGCCUUCCUUGGCCCUUCUUCGGUCGAGUGGUCCGUCCUUCACUGCCGUGUUCCCUCCUCGUGUCCGUGGAGUUACAAUCGUGUUGGUGACCGUAGAUUGGAGUUCCUAGGCCGGUGUGGAGGAUUCUCUUGGCGAGUAACCGUUCGUGUGGACAAAAACGGCUUAUUGCAAUCCGAUCAAUUUAAAAGUGUAAGACAAGGGGAAGGGAAAAUAAAGAGGGCACAGUGAGUCACGCUGGCAAAAAUGGAACAUAGUCUCUUAAUCUCAGGACAAAGGAAAUGACAUCUCAAUAAUUGUGGUCCGGCUAUUACGACCGUAUAUCAUCGGGACAUGGCAUCCCAUGCGUGUGGGCUCCGCGGCGAAACUACGAGAAACUCUCGAUGACAUGUAGCUGUUUGAAAGAGACUCCACCGGGGAAGAAAGAAGAUGCUUGCCCCCUCAAUGGUCACAGACGGAAUCCUAUUCCUAAUUAAGAGGACCCACCCGAUCGUGUUGCCCAUGUCGUGUUUGUGUUUAUUUUAAUUAUUGAUGGUACGUAUUUUAAUUGGGAGUGUUUAGAUCAGAAAACUCCUAAAAAGUGAGCCUUUAAUAAUCCUCUAAGAAAUAAUAAAAUUCUUAUUAUUUAAUAGUGAA